rnacentral:lncRNA from 1 species
AUUUUAAUGGGGUUUCUGUGUAUAUUUCAGUAAUGUGGUUACUUCUGAUCCAGCAGGGUAGUGGAUUUAUGUGGUGACACCUGGAAUAUGAUGGGACUCCAAGUUAUCAUUUAAUUGUGCUAAGGAUGGGAAGAAAAGGAGAUUUUGUGCAUUUCUCAGGGUUAAUCCCUAACCCCCAGCAAUACCACUGGGAGAGCUGUAUGGCAGGCUUGAAAUAGUUACUACUUGGAGCAAGCAGCCUUUUCAAGUCUUUACUUAUAAUUCACGGAUUGGAGAAGCUGGAGCACCAAUUUUCAGCUGAGGGCUCCCAAUCUGAGGAGCUGUUUGAGCCAGGCCCUGGAAGAGCAGAGGUAGAAGAGUGCGUGUCUGUGUGUCCAUCCCUCUGUACGUGUGACCUCAGCCACAGCAUCCUUGCCAUGGGAAAGCCACGGGAAUAUGGGAACCAGGACAAAAUUCAAAUCAAUAAAUGGGAGAAGGAGAGAAACCACAAGCUGUGCAUUUUCAGGGAGGUUCUGUGGGAUGGAUGGAGGCUGCUGAGCAUGACCUAA